UAGCAUAUCAAUAAGCGGAGGAAAAGAAACCAACAGGGAUUGCCCUAGUAACGGCGAGUGAAGCGGCAACAGCUCAAAUUUGAAAUCUGGCUCUUUCAGAGUCCGAGUUGUAAUUUGCAGAGGGCGCUUUGGUGUUGGCAGCGGUCCAAGUUCUUUGGAACAGGACGUCACAGAGGGUGAGAAUCCCGUACGUGGUCGCUAGCCUUCGCCGUGUAAAGCCCCUUCGACGAGUCGAGUUGUUUGGGAAUGCAGCUCUAAAUGGGAGGUAAAUUUCUUCUAAAGCUAAAUACUGGCCAGAGACCGAUAGCGCACAAGUAGAGUGAUCGAAAGAUGAAAAGCACUUUGGAAAGAGAGUCAAAUAGCACGUGAAAUUGUUGAAAGGGAAGCGCUUGCAGCCAGACUUGCCUGUAGUUGCUUAUCUGGACUUUUGUCCGGUGCACUCUUCUGCGGGCAGGCCAGCAUCAGUUUGGGCGGUUGGAUAAAGGUCUCUGUCAUGUACCUCCUUUCGGGGAGGCCUUAUAGGGGAGACGACAUGCAACCAGCCUGGACUGAGGUCCGCGCAUCUGCUAGGAUGCUGGCGUAAUGGCUGUAAGCGGCCCGUCUUGAAACACGGACCAAGGAGUCUAACAUCUAUGCGAGUGUUUGGGUGUCAAGCCCAGACGCGUAAUGAAAGUGAACGGAGGUGGGAACCUUUUAGGUGCACCAUCGACCGAUCCUGAUGUCUUCGGAAGGAUUUGAGUAAGAGCAUGGCUGUUGGGACCCGAAAGAUGGUGAACUAUGCUUGAAUAGGGUGAAGCCAGAGGAAACUCUGGUGGAGGCUCGCAGCGGUUCUGACGUGCAAAUCGAUCGUCAAAUUUGGGCAUAGGGGCGAAAGACUAAUCGAACUAUCUAGUAGCUGGUUCCUGCG
rnacentral:rRNA from 1 species